AUACGUAGGGGGCGAGCGUUGUCCGGAAUGAUUGGGCGUAAAGGGCGCGUAGGCGGCCCGGUAAGUCUGGAGUGAAAGUCCUGCUUUUAAGGUGGGAAUUGCUUUGGAUACUGUCGGGCUUGAGUGCAGGAGAGGUAAGUGGAAUUCCCAGUGUAGCGGUGAAAUGCGUAGAGAUUGCGAGGAACACCAGUGGCGAAGGCGACUUACUGGACUGUAACUGACGCUGAGGCGCGAAAGUGUGGGGAGCAAACAGGAUUAGAUACCCUGGUAGUCCACACUGUAAACGAUGAAUGCUAGGUGUAGGGGGUAUCGACCCCUUCUGUGCCGCAGUUAACACAAUAAGCAUUCCGCCUGGGGAGUACGGCCGCAAGGUUGAAACUCAAAGGAAUUGACGGGG
rnacentral:rRNA from 1 species